AACGAACGCUGGCGGCAUGCCUAACACAUGCAAGUCGAACGGGAUCCUAGCUUGCUAGGUGAGAGUGGCGGACGGGUGAGUAACACAUGGGAAUCUGCCUUUUGGUUCGGGAUAACCGCGGGAAACUGCGGCUAAUACCGAAUUCCCUCGAGAGAGGAAAGAUUUAUCGCCAGAAGAGGAGCCCGCGUCCGAUUAGGUAGUUGGUGGGGUAAAGGCCUACCAAGCCGACGAUCGGUAGCUGGUCUGAGAGGAUGAUCAGCCACACUGGGACUGAGAUACGGCCCAGACUCCUACGGGAGGCAGCAGUGGGGAAUAUUGGACAAUGGGGGCAACCCUGAUCCAGCAAUGCCGCGUGAGUGAUGAAGGCCUUAGGGUUGUAAAGCUCUUUUACCCGAGAUGAUAAUGACAGUAUCGGGAGAAUAAGCUCCGGCUAACUCCGUGCCAGCAGCCGCGGUAAUCUGAGUCGGAG
rnacentral:rRNA from 1 species